CUCUGAUACUCGCGCGCACCACUCUGAGAUUCGCACAGACAGCAGCAGGUUGCAGCAAAACGUUUCUUUCUACUGACUGGACUGGAGUUGACAAAAAUCCACCAGACUUCUAGAAGGUCUGCAGCUCCUUCAAAAUGAAACGAGAAUCUAUGCAGUUUUUCCUCUUCUGUGUUCUGAGGUUAUGAGCCGACCAUUAGUCAAGUUUGUUUUCCUAAUGUUCUGUAUGCUAAUU